ACUCCCCUCCGGGGGUGUGGAGUUCUGGGGCUGCGUGGGAACUUCGCUGGUAGUAGUCAAGCGAAGGGGUGACGCAGGAAGGUAGCCGUACCAGUCAGUGGUAACACUGGGGCAAGCCGGUAGGGAGAGCGAUAGGCAAAUCCGUCGCUCACUAAUCCUGAGAGGUGACGCAUAGCCGGUUGAGGCGAAUUCGGUGAUCCUCUGCUGCCAAGAAAAGCCUCUAGCGAGCACACACACGGCCCGUACCCCAAACCGACACAGGUGGUCAGGUAGAGCAUACCAAGGCGUACGAGAUAACUAUGGUUAAGGAACUCGGCAAAAUGCCCCCGUAACUUCGGGAGAAGGGGGACCGGAAUAUCGUGAACACCCUUGCGGUGGGAGCGGGAUCCGGUCGCAGAAACCAGUGAGGAGCGACUGUUUACUAAAAACACAGGUCCGUGCGAAGUCGCAAGACGAUGUAUACGGACUGACGCCUGCCCGGUGCUGGAAGGUUAAGAGGACCCGUUAACCCGCAAGGGUGAAGCGGAGAAUUUAAGCCCCAGUAAACGGCGGUGGUAACUAUAACCAUCCUAAGGUAGCGAAAUUCCUUGUCGGGUAAGUUCCGACCUGCACGAAUGGCGUAACGACUUCUCAACUGUCUCAACCAUAGACUCGGCGAAAUUGCACUACGAGUAAAGAUGCUCGUUACGCGCGGCAGGACGAAAAGACCCCGGGACCUUCACUACAACUUGGUAUUGAUGUUCGGUACGGUUUGUGUAGGAUAGGUGGGAGACUGUGAAACCUCGACGCCAGUUGGGGCGGAGUCGUUGUUGAAAUACCACUCUGAUCGUAUUGGGCAUCUAACCUCGAACCCUGAAUCGGGUUUAGGGACAGUGCCUGGCGGGUAGUUUAACUGGGGCGGUUGCCUCCUAAAAUGUAACGGAGGCGCCCAAAGGUUCCCUCAACCUGGACGGCAAUCAGGUGGCGAGUGUAAAUGCACAAGGGAGCUUGACUGCGAGACUUACAAGUCAAGCAGGGACGAAAGUCGGGAUUAGUGAUCCGGCACCCCCGAGUGGAAGGGGUGUCGCUCAACGGAUAAAAGGUACCCCGGGGAUAACAGGCUGAUCUUCCCCAAGAGUCCAUAUCGACGGGAUGGUUUGGCACCUCGAUGUCGGCUCGUCGCAUCCUGGGGCUGGAGCAGGUCCCAAGGGUUGGGCUGUUCGCCCAUUAAAGCGGCACGCGAGCUGGGUUUAGAACGUCGUGAGACAGUUCGGUCUCUAUCCGCCGCGCGCGUCAGAAACUUGAGGAAACCUGUCCCUAGUACGAGAGGACCGGGACGGACGAACCUCUGGUGCACCAGUUGUCCCGCCAGGGGCACCGCUGGAUAGCCACGUUCGGUCAGGAUAACCGCUGAAAGCAUCUAAGCGGGAAACCUUCUCCAAGAUCAGGUUUCUCACCCACUUGGUGGGAUAAGGCCCCCCGCAGAACACGGGUUCAAUAGGUCAGACCUGGAAGCUCAGUAAUGGGUGUAGGGAACUGGUGCUAACCGGCCGAAAACUUACAACA
rnacentral:rRNA from 1 species